GAAUCCAAUCUUGGAAUCUUGAAGCUCUUCGUCAUCAUAUAUUGUUUGAGAGAAUAAUGUCUGAGAAGAAUGUGAGGUAACGAUGAUGACCAGAUUGUGUUCACUGGCUAUGGUGUGUCAUGAAUGGGCUGGGGUUCGUACAUAUGUUGUAUGUGUUUACUUAUAUGUAUUAUCCUUACGUGGUAGGUAGCAAGCAUGGGUGUUUAUACGUUGGUGACUUACUGAGGCCUGGGACGAAAUGGGUACAUCUGCUGUUUUGGACUUUAUGAAAGUAGUUCAAUUUGAUUCCUGCAAUCUAUGCGAACGAGGCACUUUUGAUGGCAAGUUCGCAAUCAGGGCAAAUUCGGUGCCAUUAUUGACGAACGCAUUUGGCAUUUGAACUUGAGCAGGAUACUUGUUUUUUUCUUUGGGAGUUGGAGUUCAUUCCAGUUGAUGCACAUUUACUAAAUUCCCAGCAAUUAUAUAAUCAACCUUCCCUGAAAAAUGCUGACAAUACAUAAAUGUGGUGCUAUAAUGAACGCAGAUAUUUACCUAUGUACAUAUGUACAAGAACAGCAAUUUGUCACGUUGACUUUUAUCGAUCAAUGGUAUGUGAAGAGGUGAUCUUUGCCAAAUCCUUAUUGAAAAACUGGUUCUUUAGAUCUGCAACUCUCACUAUCUCCUUUUCGUAGUUGUGUUAGUGAUCAAUGAUCACUAUGUCAAAAAGGCAACUCUUAUAAUUCUUACAACUCUUACCACCCAAUAACCGGUUAGACAUAUAAGUAGACUAAAUAGGUAUACGUAUGGUAUAUAAGUAAGAACAAGAGUGACCAUCGACAGGGAGUCGACUGCCUGUAUCUUGAUACGUGCAAUAAAACCUGUCCUGACUUUGUCUCACCAAAUCUCACCUUGCCUCCAAGACGCAAUUUAUUUCCAUGUACAACAACGACGACGAUCGUCUCAUCUGCCUCACCACCACCAUCAAUGCAGUGAACCCCCCCCCCAUAAACGGAACUUCACAGUGCCUGUCUCGCCUAUUGUUUCUCCAGCCCAGCCUUUUUCUCAUCAUUCUUGUUAUUUUUAUUGUUCCGGACUUGGACAAGAGGUGGUGAAAGUACUGGAAAGGUUUUCCCUCCUCCUGGAGCGCUUUUAAUAGGCUUGGAACAAUAAGCACCCAUCUAUCCAAGUUCUUACUUUGGUCUGUCUCCUCCUGCUUACUCUCAAGCCCUCAGAGACGUACAGCUUUUAGUGUUUUAGUGCUCUUAUUUUCAAGUGGCUAUUGUAGCUCGCAAUUCCGGCUGCCUAAGACAAAUAAAGUUAUCAAGUCCUUUGUGGUCCUGGACUGGUUUGUUCCUAGAAGGAAGGAAGUUCCCUUCUACUUACUCUCCAUCCGCCAACCAACCGAAAGGUGAAGUCUGGAAGGAUUUGUCUGCAAUUUCCAAGACUCCAACCAACACUCGAUUGCUUGACUCCUUUUCUAGUCGAGUUUCACCAAAUAUUUAGAGGUGAGAAGAUGCUCGUCUUCCACGAAUCGCAAAUACAUAUAAGCAAAAGCAAGUAAAUAUGAUCAUCCAUCAGCCUGGAUUAUUUGGCAAUACACAUAUUUAACUUUGAGAAAAAUCAAAGCCCAUACCAGCCCCAGAUAUGAGAAUCCUUUGGGUAACUUAUCUCAAUACUUGUAGGAAAUGCAUCCAGCUUAUUUAUUUUCCACGCGUCCCGUUUGUGUACAGGAUUUUUUACAAAGCCCAAAAUCUCGCUUCCUAACCUUCGUACAUAAACUAUUGCUUGUCCAGGGUGAAAAAACCUGGUGGAGAAAGGUCAAAAAGCGUGAGAGAAAAUAAAGCAAAAGCGCAUCCUCUCUCUACCUUUCUCACUUAUAUAUUAAGAGUUGUGUCCACUAUUUUCUCUCCUUCUCUCAAACUGUCACCGUGCUAGCUAUCUGGCUCUCCUUCCCUCCAACCACUACCACUACCACCAUCCGCAUCACACUCUAAUAACAAAUAAAGAAAGUCAGUUGAAUGGAAAAGAAAUAGAAUGGAGGAAACUUUUUCAGAAACUUCCACGCACGAGAAGAAAUUGGAUUUCUUUGAAGAGAUUUUUUUGCUUUUCUUUGAAGGAAGUGGUGACAGAGGAGUGCAGCCGGAGUAAUCGUAGUAGUAGUGGAAGAGCAGCCAACGGCAGCAGCAGAGAAGACAAGGCCUCGGAAAUAAUCUGUUAUCGGAAUGAGGUGAAAAGAAGGAAUGUAAGCAAACUCCUCACCCUGCUUAAGACCCAACUCUCGCCUUUCUCUUUGUUUGGUGGAAGCAUAUUAUGAAAUCACGCAGUAAUUAAUUAUUUUGUGGUCACGAUCAACGUCAUCAUCACGAACUAAUUGUUUCAGCGGAAUGGGAGAAAAUAUUUUACCCAAAAUGAUUUUAUAUUAAAUUAGUCGACGUGCACAUACAUGCAAUCGUGCGACUACACACAAUAAAUCGUAUGGUUUUGGAUAAUAAUAUAAACCCGUAGCUCAGUUUGGGUUGUAUCGUUUCCAGUAGUUGGCUUUCCUCCUCUUAAGCUGCUUUUACUUUCGAGAGAGACUGAUCGCAAAAUCCAGCAGAGACUGUUCCAAUGACCUCAUUAUAAGAGAGGUUAAAAUGAGUGGUGCCGUAUAUGUAGAUAUGCCUACUCGUAUACACGCUGCCCUAUAUAAAACCGUAUGUGGAUGGAGUGCAACAAUAUUUGUUGUGCUGAGGCAUAAUCCUCUCUAAACCCACGGUCAUAUUUCAUUUUCGCACAGGAACGCCGAGGGAAACACCAAGGACCAAAACAUUAUUCUGCUCUAUUCUAUUGGCCAAAGGGUUUAGGUUGGAUUGUGUGUGUGUGUGCAUACAUAAAUGAGCGUUUUGAUAUAAAUUAAAUGCAUCUCACAACAGCUCAGCUAUUAUUAUUUUGGUCUUUGAUCCUAUAUGCAUUUUAUCAAAUAUUUUCUUCCAUCUUUUCGCAUAUCUCAUGGGGAGGGAAUUCCGUCGUAUUUUAGAAUAUGUUAGAAUCGGAAUACUACAAUUUUAUCGUUCAACCACACGCAGGCUGUUUGGUGAAAUUCGUUUUAGUUUUGUUAUUAAAAAUGUUUUCAUUUAAUUUGUGAGUCGAAUAUUUUGCCAACGAGCGAGUCAACAACAACCACUCGCUAAAAUUAAUGUAUUUCGUCGGAAAGCGAGUGUACUUAUAAGCAGGAAAAACAAAGCGUUCCGUUCAUCUCUUUUUCCUGGGAAAACAUCUCACCACAAUGAUCGCUGAGUCCCACGGUGCUAUGGUGUUAAUCUUUCACUGCAUGCAAACUCUGUCGCUGUCACGGCUUAGUGGGAUGAAAAUAUAAUGUCCCUGCCGUCAAAUGUCCCAGCACUUUCUGUUCAGGAUUCACCUGAACUCUCAAGUCAUGCAGUUUUUGAAAUCAUCAAAGAGGAAUAAAAUCUCGUAUUCAAUAUGAAAUGUAAUGAAAGCUUAUUCAAAAUAAAGGAUUCGUUUCCUUUUGUGUUUCGUGCAGUACAGCGUAUGAAAAGUAAUCAGUGGGAUUAAAAUCGUGGUGAUGAGUUCAUAUGUGGAAGAGAAAGCUGUGUAUUUAGCUAAACAGAGAAAUUAGGAGAGACUAAUUCAUUCCCUUUGAACAAUUAAAAUAGGAAAGGAAUAAUUAAUUUGGAUAAUAUCCUGCUCUCACUCUCAGCAGCGCCCGUCCUCCCUCCCAUCAUCAUUAAAUCGCAUUCCAGCCAAGUUCUUCUCAGCAAUCCAACCGUGACUCCCUCAUUUUCGUGGCAUCUUAACCACAGACCUUGUAAUGCGCACUUCAAAUGCCACUGGAUGACUUCCAAGGACUCUGGAGUUCCAUGGCUGCAGAGUGGCACUUACAUACACAUCGCUACAGUGGAGUAGCUCCUCUUCCGGAGAUCUUCUUAAAUCGACACGGGUUCCAGGCGAUGAGGAUAAUGAUGAUGAUUGCCAUUAUGAUUGCCCGUCUCUUGCUUGGUUCGUCAUGAUAAUAAUGAUACAAUUAUGUGAGGAUCCGCACAGCAUAGCAAUUGAUAAAGAUAUUCAAAUAAUUUAAUGCAAUUUAUAAACUUUAAAAUAACAUUUAUUAUACAUGUGUAACAGUAUUAAGUCAACGAGCACUGUACACAUUUAUGUAGAAUGUCUUGGCAUACAAGAGUUGGACAUAUCGCAGAAAUUCAUUCAGGAGAAAGUUGUAUUAUCCUAUUACCACGUUGUUAAACAUUUUUACGGAAAUUAUUGAAAACAGAUUUAUUUAAAUUGGUUAACCUAAAUCACAGAUUAUUUCCUCGGGCAUAUUAUGUAUACGGACAAUAUAGAUAGACGAUAAUAUACGAUCUUUGCAACAUUAGUCACCAUUAUUAGCACAUUUCAGGUUUCCUAUGCAUUAUAAAGCUAAGUCUUUCAGGGGUGUAGAGAGAAUGUAAAUUGAAUUGCCUAAUGUUCAUGCAUCAAUAAUAUCAUCGUUAAUGUGGUG